rnacentral:lncRNA from 1 species
CUGGAAUCUAUGAAAUGAAUAAAAAUUUUGAUUUUUAAAUAUGUUAAUUAUAAAACAAUUAUUUAGAUUUUGAGUGUGCCGAAGCCGUUUUUAGCAAUCUUCAAUCAGCAUUCAUUCCCCAAUCUCUUAACUAUCCAUAAUCAGUUCCAUUCCUAAUCAAUUUCUAAUAGUAUAGUUUGAUUUUGUUUCAUACCUUUUUGUGUUCGUAUCAUGUAUAGCUGAUCCUCUUUUAUAUUGAAGUUGAGCCAUACAUCCUAACUGUAAAAUCCAAAUAUGUGAUUUCCAGAUUAUAUUAUAUUCAAUAUUGUUAUAUGUAGAUUACAGAAGAACGUAACAUAUAAUCCUACAUCUAUGAAUUGCCGAGCAUAUUAUUGAAU